CCAAGGCUAUGGAAGCCCCCUGAGUUCACUGACUCUGGUCAUAUUUAGACAAGGCCAUGGUCAAAGUGGAAGUUCUCUCCUCCCUUCAGAGAAAGGUACCUCCUUCUUUGAUGACCCGUUCUUUCCACUGGGAUCUCACUCGCAGAGAUCUUUCAUUUAUUUUUUUUCCCCCCAGAGUGUCUUGGCUUUCCAUGCCUGAAAUAGUCUCAUGGGCUUUUCAGCCGGAUCCACAUGCCUUAAGGGCUGAUUCUGAGGCCAGAGUGCUGUUAGGACAUUUGCCAUUCUAUGGGUCUGCUGUGUAUCUCACUUCCCAUGUAGGAUCAUUCUCUCCCUUUUUUAUUCUAUCAGCUAGUAUUUGCAGACACUAUUCUUGUUUCUGUGAUCCCUUUGGUUCUUAGUCCUAUCAUUAUGAUCAAUUGUGAACAGAAAUUGAUCACUGGGACUAGUGAGAUGGCAUUGGUACAUGCCACCUUGAUGGGAUUGAAUUGGAAUCCCGUGGUAUGUUUCCAACUCUACCAUUUGAGAUGAGGGCGUGUUUCAUCAGAAGAAUAAUCAUGAAGCCUGAAGCCUGGAAAGAAAGAAUAUGGCAGUCGUAAGCAGGUGGAUUCGUCACUGAAACAGCUAAGCUGAUUUGUGUUAUUUGUGCUUGGACUUCUUAUGAUGAAAACUCCUGGAAAUAGUACAAUUUCAUGAAAUACAUAGCCUAAAAGAAUGUGGAAGGAUGCCUGCAGCUACCACCCAAUCUCUCUGCACCAUUGUACAACUCAUUCCAGCGGGUGGCAAUGUCAGGUGGAGAGCUUGGUCCACCCAGGAAUCGAGACAAAGCAGUGAAACAUUAAACAGUGUUUCAGAGAAAACAGUUAUUGAAAUGAAUUAAUGAAUGAGUUUCUUUUAAUCUCUCCAGUGGAUUGAAGGUGCCAGAAUGGAGAUUAAUAUUAUCUGUACAUUAUGUGAAGGCAUAAUAAGUAGACAACUGAAGUACAAGAGUGGAGCUUCAUCCUCAAAUAAAUACUUAGCCCUCUGAAAAAUACAGUGUGUGACAGUAAUCUGUUUAUAGAGAGUAAAGAACCACAAUUACUCCUGAAUGUAUCUCUGGCAUUGGGAAGAGAUUUACCUGUAUAAUGCUACAAAAUGAGCUGCCUUCAACAUUGGGUCUAGCAUUUCUUCUCUGGGUUACCAGCUACCUGGUUGAGAUGCUGUCUCCAGAACUGUAGAGGCUUGAAAGCCCUCAAAUAACCUGAAACACCUGAAUGAAGAAACUCAGCCCCGACUACUGCCCUGCUCCCUUGCCCGCUGGAGGACUGGGUCCUUUGCCAUGUGUUCCGUCUGUGUGCAUGUGGCAGUUAGCCACCUCUAUGAACUGAUUUGUUUUCUCCUUGAAUAAACUCAUCUUGUAUGAUGUGAGUUUAUAUCCUGUCUCCUCUCCUUACAGUAACUAUAAAUGCUAGACUUGUACCAUAAAGCAAAUGCUAAAAUAAAUGAGAGCAAUGUGGGAAUCAGUAUCUUAUCAUUGCAACCUUUGUUUAUUUGCAUGUACGCUGACCAUCUGUAGACUUGUGGUCUUUGAGAAAAUGAA